UGCAGCUUCUGGGUGUCGUGUAGAACGAUCACAGAACGAUUUUUUUUUGUUAUUUUCCAACUCGAUUUUUAACUCCCUAAACUAGUAGGAUGUUCCAACGGGUGAAGCAACAGUGCUGACGGCAGUUUCAGUGUCAAGUUUUCAUGCCAUGACCACUGGAGCGGAAACCAUUAUGACAUUGCCUUGGACAUCAAACUAAACCAUCUCAUUCUGGCUUUUGAGGUGGACUCUAACCUCGAAAUCUCAGAAGUACAGGUCUAAGACGGACGCAGCCUCCAUAGGAUGCAACCUUGCAUUUGAGAAACACCCAUAGAACGGUCAACUUACUCCAUACUCUAACCUGAAUGCAGGGAUCAUAAAACUUUAUCUUUUACCUUAAUUGUUAGAUGGGUGUUGAUACCAAACUUUUUUUCUCGUCUACCCAGGAGAAAGUCAUGGGUUCUGCUGCUAAGGUUGUCAUAAAUGUCUUUUAUUCUGCUUACCUGACUCAUGCAGAAUUCUGGCUUGAUGUUUGGUCCACCUGUUAGCUGGCUCUGGUGCUUGGUAGUCUUCUCAAACCUCUGAAUCAAGACCACCAUGAGAGGCCUUCUGAAGACCAUCAUUACGCUUCAGAUCCAGUUGUCUUUACUAUGAGGUAAAUCUUUUUUAACUGCAGCAUUGAGCGUUAUGUGCGCUGUUAAAGGAAUAGUCUACUCAUUUUCAAUAUUAAAAUAUGUUAUUACCUUAACUAAGAAUUGUUGAUACAUCCCUCUAUCAUCUGUGUGCGUGCACGUAAGCGCUGGAGCGCGCUGCGACGCUUCGAUAGCAUUUAGCUUAGCCCCAUUCAUUCAAUGGUACCAUUUAGAGAUAAAGUUAGAAGUGACCAAACACAUCAACGUUUUUCCUAUUUAAGACGAGUAGUUAUACGAGCAAGUUUGGUGGUACAAAAUAAAACGUAGCGCUUUUCUAAGCGGAUUUAAAAGAGGAACUAUAUUUUAUGGCGUAAUAGCACUUUUGGGAGUACUUCGACUCGGCGCAGUAACAUUAUGAGAGUGAGAAGG